rnacentral:rRNA from 1 species
AUUGAACGCUGGCGGCAUGCCUUACACAUGCAAGUCGAACGGCAGCACGGAGCUUGCUCUGGUGGCGAGUGGCGAACGGGUGAGUAAUAUAUCGGAACGUACCCUAGAGUGGGGGAUAACGUAGCGAAAGUUACGCUAAUACCGCAUACGAUCUAAGGAUGAAAGUGGGGGAUCGCAAGACCUCAUGCUCGUGGAGCGGCCGAUAUCUGAUUAGCUAGUUGGUAGGGUAAAAGCCUACCAAGGCAUCGAUCAGUAGCUGGUCUGAGAGGACGACCAGCCACACUGGAACUGAGACACGGUCCAGACUCCUACGGGAGGCAGCAGUGGGGAAUUUUGGACAAUGGGCGAAAGCCUGAUCCAGCAAUGCCGCGUGAGUGAAGAAGGCCUUCGGGUUGUAAAGCUCUUUUGUCAGGGAAGAAACGGUGAGAGCUAAUAUCUCUUGCUAAUGACGGUACCUGAAGAGUAAGCACCGGCUAACUACGUGCCAGCAGCCGCGGUAAUACGUAGGGUGCAAGCGUUAAUCGGAAUUACUGGGCGUAAAGCGUGCGCAGGCGGUUUUGUAAGUCUGAUGUGAAAUCCCCGGGCUCAACCUGGGAAUUGCAUUGGAGACUGCAAGGCUAGAAUCUGGCAGAGGGGGGUAGAAUUCCACGUGUAGCAGUGAAAUGCGUAGAUAUGUGGAGGAACACCGAUGGCGAAGGCAGCCCCCUGGGUCAAGAUUGACGCUCAUGCACGAAAGCGUGGGGAGCAAACAGGAUUAGAUACCCUGGUAGUCCACGCCCUAAACGAUGUCUACUAGUUGUCGGGUCUUAAUUGACUUGGUAACGCAGCUAACGCGUGAAGUAGACCGCCUGGGGAGUACGGUCGCAAGAUUAAAACUCAAAGGAAUUGACGGGGACCCGCACAAGCGGUGGAUGAUGUGGAUUAAUUCGAUGCAACGCGAAAAACCUUACCUACCCUUGACAUGGCUGGAAUCCUUGAGAGAUCAGGGAGUGCUCGAAAGAGAGCCAGUACACAGGUGCUGCAUGGCUGUCGUCAGCUCGUGUCGUGAGAUGUUGGGUUAAGUCCCGCAACGAGCGCAACCCUUGUCAUUAGUUGCUACGAAAGGGCACUCUAAUGAGACUGCCGGUGACAAACCGGAGGAAGGUGGGGAUGGCGUCAAGUCCUCAUGGCCCUUAUGGGUAGGGCUUCACACGUCAUACAAUGGUACAUACAGAGCGCCGCCAACCCGCGAGGGGGAGCUAAUCGCAGAAAGUGUAUCGUAGUCCGGAUUGUAGUCUGCAACUCGACUGCAUGAAGUUGGAAUCGCUAGUAAUCGCGGAUCAGCAUGUCGCGGUGAAUACGUUCCCGGGUCU